GAUGAGCGCUGGCGGCGUGCCUCAAACAUGCAAGUCGAGCGGGGCUAUGUAAUACCGCAAGGUAGAACAUAGCCUAGCGGCGAACGGGUGAGUAACACGUGGGUAACCUGCCUGGAAGACAGGGAUAACGAUUCGAAAGGGUCGCUAAUACCUGAUAAUAUCCUUUCAUCGCAUGGUGAUAGGAAGAAAGGGGAAACCCGCUUUCAGAUGGGCCCGCGUCCCAUCAGCUAGUUGGUAAGGUAAAGGCUUACCAAGGCGACGACGGGUAGCCGGUCUGAGAGGAUGUACGGCCACACUGGGACUGAGAUACGGCCCAGACUCCUACGGGAGGCAGCAGUUGGGAAUCUUAGGCAAUGGACGAAAGUCUGACCUAGCGACGCCGCGUGAGGGAAGAAGGCCUUCGGGUUGUAAACCUCUGUCAUGGGGGAAGAAGUAAGUGACGGUACCCCAAGAGGAAGCCCCUGCUAACUACGUG
rnacentral:rRNA from 1 species